rnacentral:rRNA from 1 species
UACGAAGGGGGCUAGCGUUGUUCGGAAUUACUGGGCGUAAAGCGCACGUAGGCGGACAUUUAAGUCGGGGGUGAAAUCCCAGAGCUCAACUCUGGAACUGCCUUUGAUACUGGGUGUCUUGAGUAUGGAAGAGGUGAGUGGAAUUCCGAGUGUAGAGGUGAAAUUCGUAGAUAUUCGGAGGAACACCAGUGGCGAAGGCGGCUCACUGGUCCAUUACUGACGCUGAGGUGCGAAAGCGUGGGGAGCAAACAGG